GGCUGGCCAACACAGCGAGAUUCGAGAGGAGAGGACGAGUGCAGGACGAAAAGGGUCUUUCGUCACCCGGGGACUCAAACAGAAGAAGAGUCAGUAGAGCUGCAAGUGGUUAAAGGUCUCCAGCAGAAACAAAUGAACAACUUCUUAAAGAUUGUACUUAUGUAAAUCAACUGCUGCGCAUUACUGCAAGUCAUUCAGGUAUCUCUUACGUUUACCUCUUUGGGAUAAAAUUUAAAUCUACUUCCUAAUUCUGUAUUCCUGCAUGGCUGACUUAGUUUGUGAAGGCAAAAUUCGAAUGAGGUCAAAAAGUCAACGGUUGCAAUUCAUCGACCUCAGAGCCUCAGAGCCGGCUAUCAUUCCAGAGCUCUAACUUUCCUGAUGAAUCACCUGCUAAUUUAUCACCUGGAUUUUGGUGACCCUUGUGCAGAUGGAGGACCAGAGCUCUCGCCUUAGUUAUUAUUUUCCAUUCAUGAAACCUCAAUUGGAGUCCUCCUCCUUGCCUUACGCUCAUGCAUCAUGUGUGGACAGACCUGCAAAUUGUUUGUAAAUAAACGGGCGAGAGUCUGGGCGU